GACGAUGAUGUAGUAAUCCUAUUCCAUUGCUGAAUACUCAGUGUGGAAAGCUAUAAACUGAUGUC
ensembl:snoRNA small nucleolar RNA SNORD98